CAGUCGCCGCGGGAAUACAGAGGGUGCAAGCGUUAAUCGGAUUUACUGGGCGUAAAGCGUGCGUAGGCGGCUUCUUAAGUCGGAUGUGAAAUCCCUGAGCUUAACUUAGGAAUUGCAUUCGAUACUGGGAAGCUAGAGUAUGGGAGAGGAUGGUAGAAUUCCAGGUGUAGCGGUGAAAUGCGUAGAGAUCUGGAGGAAUACCGAUGGCGAAGGCAGCCAUCUGGCCUAAUACUGACGCUGAGGUACGAAAGCAUGGGGAGCAAACAGGAUUAGAUACCCCAGUAGUCCCUGUCUCUUAUAC
rnacentral:rRNA from 1 species